AUACGUAGGGGGCGAGCGUUGUCCGGAAUGAUUGGGCGUAAAGGGCGCGUAGGCGGCCCGGUAAGUCUGGAGUGAAAGUCCUGUUUUUAAGAUGGGAAUUGCUUUGGAUACUGUCGGGCUUGAGUGCAGGAGAGGGAAGUGGAAUCCCCAGUGUAGCGGUGAAAUGCGUAGAGAUUGGGAGGAACACCAGUGGCGAAGGCGACUUACUGGACUGUAACUGACGCUGAGGCGCGAAAGUGUGGGGAGCAAACAGGAUUAGAUACCCUGGUAGUCCACACUGUAAACGAUGAAUGCUAGGUGUAGGGGGUAUCGACCCCUUCUGUGCCGCAGUCAACACAAUAAGCAUUCCGCCUGGGGAGUACGGCCGCAAGGUUGAAACUCAAAUGAAUUGACGGGG
rnacentral:rRNA from 1 species